rnacentral:rRNA from 1 species
UACGUAGGGGGCAAGCGUUGUCCGGAAUCAUUGGGCGUAAAGCGUGUGUAGGCGGUUACGUAAGUCUGCUGUGAAAGUCGGAGGCUCAACCUUCGAAAGCCGGUGGAUACUGCGUGACUAGAGUACGGAAGAGGAGAGUGGAAUUCCUGGUGUAGCGGUGAAAUGCGCAGAUAUCAGGAGGAACACCAACGGCGAAGGCAGCUCUCUGGGACGUUACUGACGCUGAGACGCGAAAGCGUGGGGAGCAAACAGG